UGCUUCUUGAGGUGUGUGUUCCAGUGGUUUUUAAUCUCGUUGUCAGUUCGUCCAGGAAUGUGCGAUGCGAUCACGGACAACCUGAAAGUGAAACACGCAAGAACUUAGAGAACGCAGAAUUUAGAGCUAGAUGUUGAGAAGCUCUUCUUGGGCUGUGAUCCCGCCUCGUUUUAUAUCCGGCCGGAGAUAGUUUGUCCAUCGCAGCCUGCACCGCAACGAUUGAGUCCUGCUCGCAAGAUCUAGGAGAAACAAGAUGUGAGAAAUCGAUUCACCCGGUUUCUCCGGUAGCGAUUCUCGUGACCGUGUUUCCGAAUGUAAGCGAGUGAGUCCCUCUUUGCUCCGGCGAGGAGGCCUCCCCAUUGCAAAGCAAGGAGAAGUAAAGAGAGAGUUCUAUAGACAUUGUGAUUGUCUAUUUAUUUGUAUA